rnacentral:sRNA from 1 species
UUGUUGAGGCGAAAUAUAGUGGACAUGCGUAUCUACCGCUCCGGCAGUAAGUAUCAUACCUUCUCCUGAUAUAACCUCUGUAAUUGUACCAAUGAUCAUUCCCGGAGUUACAUUGGGUUGAAUAUGCGGAUUUCCGGCUUUCCCUAUAGCUUUAAUAUUCCCGUUUUUAAUACCUACGUCAGCUUUGUAAAUACCGGUAUAGUCAAUAAUUAUGACAUUUGUAAUAACCAGAUCAAGUAUCUCACUGUCUGUAAAGCCAGAAGCUUGUCCCAUCCCGUCGCG